rnacentral:rRNA from 1 species
GACGAACGCUGGCGGCGUGCUUAACACAUGCAAGUCGAGCGGUAAGGCCCUUUCGGGGGUACACGAGCGGCGAACGGGUGAGUAACACGUGGGUGACCUGCCCUCAGCUCUGGGAUAAGCCUGGGAAACUGGGUCUAAUACUGGAUAUGACUCCACGGUGCAUGUCGUGGGGUGGAAAGCCUUGUGCGGCUGAGGAUGGGCCCGCGGCCUAUCAGCUUGUUGGUGGGGUGAGGCCUACCAAGGCGACGACGGGUAGCCGGCCUGAGAGGGCGACCGGCCACACUGGGACUGAGACACGGCCCAGACUCCUACGGGAGGCAGCAGUGGGGAAUCUUGCGCAAUGGGCGAAAGCCUGACGCAGCGACGCCGCGUGAGGGA